UGGCGGACGGGUGAGUAACGCGUAGGAACCUGUCGAACAGUGGGGGAUAACGCUGGGAAACCGGCGCUAAUACCGCAUGUGGUCGGGCAACCGAAGAAAGCAUUUAUGCGCUGUUUGAGGGGCCUGCGUCCGAUUAGCUUGUUGGUGGGGUAAGGGCCUACCAAGGCAUCGAUCGGUAGCUGGUCUGAGAGGAUGGUCAGCCACACUGGGACUGAGACACGGCCCAG
rnacentral:rRNA from 1 species